UAACCUUCGGGAGGGCGCUUGCCACGGUGUGGCCGAUGACUGGGGUGAAGUCGUAACAAGGUAGCCGUAUCGGAAGGUGCGGCUGGAUCACCUCCUUU
rnacentral:ncRNA from 1 species